AACGAACGCUGGCGGCAGGCUUAACACAUGCAAGUUGAACGGGAUUGUUUUGGUGCUUGCACUAAGACAUGAGAGUGGCGCACGGGUGAGUAAUAUGUAGGAACGUACCUAUUGGUUCGGGAUAACGCUUGGAAACGAGUGCUAAUACCGGAUAAGCCCUGAGGGGGAAAGAUUUAUUGCCGAUAGAACGGCCUGCAUCAGAUUAGGUAGUUGGUGGGGUAAAGGCCUACCAAGCCGACGAUCUGUAGCUGGUCUGAGAGGACGAUCAGCCACAUUGGGACUGAGACACGGUCCAGACUCCUACGGGAGGCAGCAGUGGGGAAUAUUGGGCAAUGGGGGGAAACCCUGACCCAGCAACGCCGCGUGAAGGAAGAAGGCCCUCGGGUUGUAAACUUCUUUUACCAGGGACGAAGAACGUGACGGUACCUGGAGAAAAAGCCACGGCUAACUACGUG
rnacentral:rRNA from 1 species